rnacentral:misc_RNA from 1 species
UGGAUGGUUUCAUACAGGUGACAUCGGAGAAAUGAUGCCUAAUGGAGUUGUAAAAGUCAUUGAUAGAAAGAAAAAUGUUAUAAAGCUAUCACAAGGAGAAUAUGUUGCAUUGGAAUAUCUGGAAAAGGUUUAUGCUAUUGCGCCCAUCGUUGAAGAUAUAUGGGUAUAUGGGGACAGCUUCAAGUCCAUGUUGAUAGCAGUCGUGGCGCCACAUGAAGGGAAUACGAAGAAAUGGGCUGAUAAAAAUGGCCACAAAGGUUCAAUUACUGAACUUUGUUCCCUACAAGACCUAAACCAAUAUGUUCUCCUUGAGCUGAAAUCUGCUGCAGAAAGGAACAAGCUAAGAGGUUUCGAGAACAUCAAAGGAGUGAUUCUGGAACCUCAACCUUUUGAGUUUGACAAGGAG